CACAAAGAGGUGGACGCGACUGAGCAACUAAGCAUAGCAACAACAAGCUCUGAUUCAAGGCAGUGAUGUCAAACAUUAUGAGAGUGUUUAUUUCUUUGGAAUGGGAUGCGACAUUUACAUGACACAUCUGCGUGUUUUAGAAGACUGUCUAACCCAAGCACAUGCAGGAUUAUAGAAAGAAGAGAGGCAGCCCCAUUCAAACAUCUCUUUUCAAACCAGAAAUAAGCAAAGGAUCUCCGAGUCUGGAUGCAGCACCGAAUCUAAUAACAGGGCCCUGCAGGAACCAGACCUCUCGAAAGAGCAAGGGCAGGAAAGGGGAGGCACAGCAGCAGUGUGGUCACUGCUCUGCCUAGUGAGGACGGGGACCAUCGCUCCGGCCCACUGUCACGGCGCUGAAGAGGAAAACACUAAAUUGACUUAUACCCGUGAACACCCUCUCUGAGCUCACAAGCAGCUGUCAUCUAAGGGA
rnacentral:lncRNA from 1 species